GAUGUGUAUCCAAAUUAACAAGAUGGCAUAGCAUCCAUCUGGAACAGAGGUCUGCAGACUUUUUCAGCAGGGGGCCAGUCCACUGUCCCUCAGACCUUGGGGGGUGGCGGCGGACUAUAUUUUGGAAAAAAUAUAUGAACGAAUUCCUAUGCCCCACAAAUAACCCAGAGAUGCAUUUUAAAUAAAAACACACAUUCUACUUGUUAAGUUGUGGGUGAACAUAUCAGAUGAUACAGCGAUUCUUCAAACAGCUCUUGUUUAUUCACAGGCCAGAACAGAACUGAACUGAAGGGUUCAACCAGCCUGCUUAUAUAGAGCUCCAGUACAACGCAACUGUAACAACUUUCUGUAACUAUCCAAUCAUUGAAUGUCACUUUCAAUCCCUUAUUUGCAUAUGUGGACCUGAGUGAAAACUAUCUACAGUAUCCCCCUGCUGGCCCAGGAACGAAAACAACAGCAACCAAACAUGUCGCCGCAGUUAAUGAACCGAAGUUUCGAAGGAAGCAGAGGAAAGAGACCACAGCUUUCUGCCUCUAAUUAUCCUGUUUGUGCAUCUAAAAAAAAGUGGGCUCUAGCCCACUCAAGUUGCAACAGUGCUCUACCGGGACUCCCUCUCUUCACUGGAUUCUGGAUUUUGCUUUGGAGACAGCAGCACAAUUUGCCUGACAAGCCAAUGUGGAAAGACCUGCUGGAGGAUCGCUGCUCCUACCAGUCACUCUAAACAAGUGUGUCUGAGAACCU
rnacentral:lncRNA from 1 species